AACGAACGCUGGCGGCAGGCUUAACACAUGCAAGUCGAGCGAGACCUUCGGGUCUAGCGGCGGACGGGUGAGUAACGCGUGGGAACGUGCCCUUCUCUACGGAAUAGCCCCGGGAAACUGGGAGUAAUACCGUAUACGCCCUUUGGGGGAAAGAUUUAUCGGAGAAGGAUCGGCCCGCGUUGGAUUAGGUAGUUGGUGGGGUAAUGGCCCACCAAGCCGACGAUCCAUAGCUGGUUUGAGAGGAUGAUCAGCCACACUGGGACUGAGACACGGCCCAGACUCCUACGGGAGGCAGCAGUGGGGAAUCUUAGACAAUGGGGGCAACCCUGAUCUAGCCAUGCCGCGUGAGUGAUGAAGGCCUUAGGGUUGUAAAGCUCUUUCAGCUGGGAAGAUAAUGACGGUACCAGCAGAAGAAGCCCCGGCUAACUCCGUGCCAGCAGCCGCGGUAAUACGGAGGGGGCUAGCGUUGUUCGGAAUUACUGGGCGUAAAGCGCACGUAGGCGGACUGGAAAGUCAGAGGU
rnacentral:rRNA from 1 species